rnacentral:lncRNA from 1 species
UUAAUUGUUUUCCUUUUCAUUUUCUCUUCAAGAAAAGGUUCCAGUGCUUAUUGCUCUCAUGGACAUCGUGGUUGACCUGUUUUUGCCUGUUAGUCCUGAAUCAGUUGGAGUUGAUAGAGAAGAAUAAGAUGAUGAUGUACUAGAUUCGCUAAGAAGAAUGGAGAUGGAAUAAUAGUGCCUAUAUUAGGCUUAGAUAUUGAGAUCAAGGAAAAUGUUCGUGGGGUUGAUAGAAGCAUGGAGAACCCCUGGGUUCAUAAAAGCCACCGUGACAGCAAUCACAGACAAAACUGCAAGGAUUUCCGGAACAAGGUCACAAGGAAGAUCCCCAACAAGAUAUCAAGAUCCGAAAUUAAAUGUAUGAUUUACUUGCAGGGGCAACAGAAACUGCAAUUGUAUAAAGUUUGUGUGAUUUUCAUAGUCUUUCUUCACCUUUGGUUUUAAGAUGAAGAGGGAGGAUAUUUUUAAAUCAUGGCUUCGGCUAAGAGAAUUUUUGUAGCCUUCUUCAUGAUGUUAAUUAGCAUGGAGUUCUUUUUGUCAUUUAAGUUGAAGAAAAGAAAAUACAC